rnacentral:lncRNA from 1 species
CAGCCAACUAAAAGCCCCUGUUUCGGGCCCCUAAAGGCAGGCCUGUUCCCACGCUCCGCAGAGUUCGCACUCAUCAGAGUUCUUGCACUCACCAGAGUUUGUGUUCGCCAGAGUUCUCACGCUCCCCAGAGUUCCCGCGCUCCCAGAUUUCCCAUGCUUCCCAGAAUUCUUGCGCUCCCCAGAGUUCCCGCGCUUCCCAGAGUUCCUGCGCUCGCCACAGUUCCUGCGCUCACCAGAGUUCUUGCGCUCCCCAGAGUUCGCGCUCCCCAGAGUUCGCACUCACCAGAGUUCUCGCGCUCGCCAGAGUUCCCACGCUCGCCAGAGUUCUCGCACUCCCCAGAGUACGCACUCCCCAGAGUUCGCACUCCCCAGAGUUUGUGCGCUCGCCACAGUUCGGGCUCCCCAGAGUUCCCGCGCUUGCCAGAAUUUGCGCUCACAAGAGUUUUCACGCUCGCCAGAGUUCCCAGCGCUCCCCAGAGUUCCCACGCUCGCCACAGUUCCUGCGUUCACCAGAGUUCGCACUUACCAGAGUCCUUGCGCUCGCCAGAGUUCUCAUGCUCGCCAGAGUUCUCAUGCUCGCCAGAGUUUGCAUUCGCCAGAGUUUGCAUUCGCCAGAGUUCGCGGAAUCUCAAGAGUUCACGCUCGCCAGAGCUCCCGCGCUCCCCAAUGUUCGCGCUUGCCAGAAUUCUUGCGCUCUCCAGAGUUCUCACGCUCCCCACAGUUCGCACUCACAGGAGUUCCCGCGCUCCCCAGAUUUCUCGCGCUCCCCAGAGUUCGCACUCACCAAAGUUCACGCUCCCCAGAGUUCUCAUGCUCACCAGAGUUUGCAGUCACCAGGGUUCUCAUGCUUGCCAGAGUUCACAUUCGCCAGAGUUCUCGCGCUUGCCAGAAUACCUGCGCUCCCCAGAGUUCCCGCCCUCCCCAGAGUUCGCACUCACCAGAGUUCCCGCGU